rnacentral:rRNA from 1 species
UACGGAGGGUGCAAGCGUUAUCCGGAUUCACUGGGUUUAAAGGGUGCGUAGGUGGGCAGGUAAGUCAGUGGUGAAAUCUCCGAGCUUAACUCGGAAACUGCCAUUGAUACUAUCUGUCUUGAAUACCGUGGAGGUCAGCGGAAUAUGUCAUGUAGCGGUGAAAUGCUUAGAUAUGACAUAGAACACCAAUUGCGAAGGCAGCUGGCUACACGAAUAUUGACACUGAUGCACGAAAGCGUGGGGAUCAAACAGG